rnacentral:rRNA from 1 species
AGUGAACGCUGGCGGUAGGCCUAACACAUGCAAGUCGAACGGCAGCACAGUAAGAGCUUGCUCUUACGGGUGGCGAGUGGCGGACGGGUGAGGAACACAUCGGAAUCUACUUUUUCGUGGGGGAUAACGUAGGGAAACUUACGCUAAUACCGCAUACGACCUACGGGUGAAAGCAGGGGAUCUUCGGACCUUGCGCGAUUGAAUGAGCCGAUGUCGGAUUAGCUAGUUGGCGGGGUAAAGGCCCACCAAGGCGACGAUCCGUAGCUGGUCUGAGAGGAUGAUCAGCCACACUGGAACUGGGACACGGUCCAGACUCCUACGGGAGGCAGCAGUGGGGAAUAUUGGACAAUGGGCGCAAGCCUGAUCCAGCCAUACCGCGUGGGUGAAGAAGGCCUUCGGGUUGUAAAGCCCUUUUGUUGGGAAAGAAAAGCAGCAGGUUAAUACCCCGCUGUUCUGACGGUACCCAAAGAAUAAGCACCGGCUAACUUCGUG